AGAAUGAACGUUGGCGGCGUGGAUUAGGCAUGCAAGUCGUACGGGUCGGUGUAGCAAUACAACGGCAAGUGGCGAAAGGGAGAGUAACACGUAGAUACCUACCCUCUGGUCGGGGAUAUCGCGGCAUAACCGCAACCAAUACCCGAUAAAAUCUCCGGAUCAAAGGUGUGAUUCCGCCGGAGGAGGGGUCUGCGUUCUAUCAGCUUGUUGGCGAGGUAACGGCUCACCAAGGCUAAGACGGAUACGGGGUGUGAGAGCAUGCCCCCGCUCACUGGGACUGAGACACUGCCCAGACACCUACGGGUGCUGCAGUCGAGAAUCUUCGGCAAUGGGCGCAAGCCUGACCGAGCGACGCCGCGUGCGGGGUGAAGGCCUUCGGUUGUAAACCGCUGGUCGAGGGGAUGGAAGUGUAGGUAAGUCAUCUUAUCUAUUUGACAGAUCCCUGGAGAAGCAUGGCUAAGUCGUGCCAGCAGCCG
rnacentral:rRNA from 1 species